rnacentral:rRNA from 1 species
GAUGAACGCUGGCGGCGUGCCUAAUACAUGCAAGUAGAACGCUGAAGGAGGAGCUUGCUCUUCUGGAUGAGUUGCGAACGGGUGAGUAACGCGUAGGUAACCUGCCUGGUAGCGGGGGAUAACUAUUGGAAACGAUAGCUAAUACCGCAUGACAACAGUUAUUGCAUGAUAACUGUUUAAAAGGGGCAACUGCUCCACUACCAGAUGGACCUGCGUUGUAUUAGCUAGUUGGUGAGGUAACGGCUCACCAAGGCGACGAUACAUAGCCGACCUGAGAGGGGGAUCGGACACACUGGGACUGAGACACGGCCCAGACGGCUACGGGGGGCAGCAGUAGGGAAUCUUCGGCAAUGGACGGAAGGAUGACCGAGCAACGCCGCGUGAGUGAAGAAGGUUUUCGGAUCGUAAAGCUCUGUUGUAAGAGAAGAACGAGUGUGAGAGUGGAAAGUUCACAAUGUGACGGUAUCUUACCAGAAAGGGACGGCUAAAUACGUG